GAUGAACGCUGGCGGCGUGCCUAAUACAUGCCAGUCGAGCGAACGGACGAGAAGCUUGCUUCUCUGAUGUUAGCGGCGGACGGGUGAGCAACACGUGGAUAACCUACCUAUAAGACUGGGAUAACUUCGGGAAACCGGAGCUAAUACCGGAUAAUAUUUUGAACCGCAUGGUUCAAAAGUGAAAGACGGUCUUGCUGUCACUUAUAGAUGGAUCCGCGCUGCAUUAGCUAGUUGGUAAGGUAACGGCUUACCAAGGCAACGAUGCAUAGCCGACCUGAGAGGGUGAUCGGCCACACUGGAACUGAGACACGGUCCAGACUCCUACGGGAGGCAGCAGUAGGGAAUCUUCCGCAAUGGGCGAAAGCCUGACGGAGCAACGCCGCGUGAGUGAUGAAGGUCUUCGGAUCGUAAAACUCUGUUAUUAGGGAAGAACAUAUGUGUAAGUAACUGUGCACAUCUUGACGGUACCUAAUCAGAAAGCCACGGCUAACUACGUG
rnacentral:rRNA from 1 species